rnacentral:rRNA from 1 species
CGGCGAGUGAACCGGGAAGAGCUCAAAUUUGAAAUCUGGCGUCCUCAGGGCGUCCGAGUUGUAAUCUAUAGAGGCGUUUUCCGUGCCGGACCGUGUCCAAGUUCCUUGGAACAGGAUAUCAAAGAGGGUGACAAUCCCGUACUUGACACGACGACCGGUGCUCUGUGAUACGUCUUCUACGAGUCGAGUUGUUUGGGAAUGCAGCUCAAAAUGGGUGGUGAGUUCCAUCUAAAGCUAAAUAUUGGCGAGAGACCGAUAGCGAACAAGUACCGUGAGGGAAAGAUGAAAAGCACUUUGGAAAGAGAGUUAAACAGUACGUGAAAUUGUUGAAAGGGAAACGAUUGAAGUCAGUCGUGACCGAGAGGCUCAGCCGGUUCUGCCGGUGUAUUCCCCUCGGUCGGGUCAACAUCAGUUUUGUCCGGUGGAUAAGGGCAGUAGGAAGGUGGCACCCUCGGGUGUGUUAUAGCCUGCCGUCGCAUACAUCGGGUGAGACUGAGGAACGCAGCUCGCCUUUAUGGCCGGGGUUCGCCCACGUCCGAGCUUAGGAUGUUGACAUAAUGGCUUUAAACGACCCGUCUUGAAACACGGACC